rnacentral:lncRNA from 1 species
ACUCAGUUCCCUAGGGACAAAGGUGACUCCUUCAGCCAAGGGUCUAAUUUUGGUGAAUUGUCUUGCAAGGUAAGGAGAAGAGAGACAGAGAAAAUAUUAGCAGUGGCUUACCCUUGUACAGAGCUUCCUACACCCAAGCAUGAUUCAGAUGCAUGCCCAUACUCCAGGGAGGUAUCAUUACUGUUCCUACUUUGGAAGUGGGGAUACCAAGGUACAGAGGGGCUACUCAGAUGGCCCACGGUCACACAGCCCAAAGUGGCAGAGCAGCAUUCAAAUCCAGGCAGUGCUGCUCUAAGUGUGUUGUCCUUAUCAUGGUUCUGCACAGCUCUCCACCAGGUACCUGAGAGCAGAUGGGAGUGUGCUGGAAUUGGACAGACAGUCCAGGGCCGGGUCAUCUUCAUGAUGUGUGCACCCUCAGCGAGAGGGGCCACAGCAAAAUGGUUAAGAACUUUGACUCUUCAUUCAAGCCAACUGAGUUUAAACCCCACCUUUUGUUGUCAUGGGCUGAGCGAUUUGCAGCCAGUUGCUAACUUCUUUGUGCCAUGUUUUCCCCUAUGGAGAAAUGGGAUAGAAGGAGAGCCUCCUCGGAUCCUGGAAAGACUGGGGAGAGAUGUGGUGUGCCACUAGGACACUCACAGACAUGAGAGUGGUGUCCUGCCCACUUCUCAUCUGGGCCUGGGGCUUGCCACCAUUAACUACUACCAGUGAGCUACACACACUGGAUUUUAAACACCGUCAUUGAUGCUCAUUUUUCUGCCUAUUUUAAUUUUUCACCCAUUUGUUAUAUUUCUGUUGAUCGUGUUACUUUUGGCCUAGCUAUAUUUAUUAAAAUAGCUAUAUCAAACAUCUGUCUAUCUGCUUAGUAAUCAUCUAUUUAUUAUCUAUCAUUGAUCAUCUAUCUAUUAUUACCCAUUUAUCAUCUGUCCAUCCUCUGCCUAUUUAUCCAUUCAUCAUCUGUUUGUCUGUCAAUUGACAUACAUACUCAUUUGUAGAGCAUGCACAUUUUAGGUAGAACCCUCCAUCCUGCUCACGUGGAGAUGAACCCUCAUUUUCAAAGGGGCCUUUAGCAGUGAUACGGUGUGAAGAUGACCAGUCAGCAAUGACCAUGAAAACAGGUAUUUGGAAUAACCAGGCUUUUGAGUAAGGGGGAUACAGCAAAGCUAUAGAGCCAGGCCCCUGGGACCAAAAUUAAUUUCCCUCAGGGUAAGAUG